rnacentral:rRNA from 1 species
GAGACAGCAGCCGCCACGGUAAAACGUAGGGUGCAAGCGUUAAUCGGAAUUACUGGGCGUAAAGCGUGCGCAGGCGGUUAUAUAAGACAGAUGUGAAAUCCCCGGGCUCAACCUGGGAACUGCAUUUGUGACUGUAUAGCUAGAGUACGGCAGAGGGGGAUGGAAUUCCGCGUGUAGCAGUGAAAUGCGUAGAUAUGCGGAGGAACACCGAUGGCGAAGGCAAUCCCCUGGGCCUGUACUGACGCUCAUGCACGAAAGCGUGGGGAGCAAACAGGAUUAGAUACCCCCGUAGUCCCUGUCUCUUAUAC